CCAAUGGGCGAAANCUGACGGAGCAANACCGCGUGGGGGAAGAAGGCUCUUGGGUUGUAAACCCCUUUUCUCUGGGAAGAAANUUGUGAAAGCAACCUGAACGGUACCNGACGGAAUCAGCAUCGGCUAACUCCGUGCCAGCAGCCGCGGUAAGACGGANGAUGCAAGCGUUAUCCGGAAUGAUUGGGCGUAAAGCGUCCGCAGGUGGCAGUUCAAGUCUGCUGUCAAAGACCGGGGCUUAACUUCGGAAAGGCAGUGGAAACUGAACAGCUAGAGUAUGGUAGGGGCAGAGGGAAUUCCUGGUGUAGCGGUGAAAUGCGUAGAGAUCAGGAAGAACAUCCGUGGCGAAGGCGCUCUGCUGGACCAUAACUGACACUCAGGGACGAAAGCUAGGGGAGCGAAUGGGAUUAGAUACCCCAGUAGUCCUAGCCGUAAACGAUGGAUACUAGGUGUUGUCUGUAUCGACCCGGACAGUGCCGUAGCUAACGCGUUAAGUAUCCCGCCUGG
rnacentral:rRNA from 1 species